UUCGCCCAACUCCUCUGUUCGCCCAACUCCUCCUUUCGCAACCGCCCACUCCUCCGUUCGCCUUCCUCCAAACUCCUCCGUUCUCCGACCGUGUUUCUUCUCCCGACCACCAUUCUUCUCCGAAACUCCUCCAUACUUCGCCGGCCGUCACAACUCACUCUCACCAAAUCCGACGGUUGAAAGCCUUCUUCUACAGAAUUCCAUCAGUUACAAUCAAGAUAAACAGUUACCACUUUUGUAAGUUCUCCUUGAUUAAGAAUCAUUCUACUUGGUUAAAAGAAGUGGAAGCAUCAAAAGAUUGUCUUGUACUUGAAGAUACAUAGCUGAUUGGAGUUCAUCUGAUUUAUAAUAAGGUUAGUUUCUUGUUGUGGCCUAACUUGAGUUGGAUAUUGAUAUGUUUAAACUUUCAGACAUAUGUAUUUUUGGGUUUUCUGAAUGUGGUGUUUUUCUUUUUAAAUUUUAAGUUAACACACAUAAAUUUUGAGAGCAAAAUUACAACUCAACACAGUUAGUUAUAAACUUUCCAAUCAAAGUUAUUAUCCAACACUAAAUUAGUUAUAAAUUUUCAAAAAAUAAUUACAACAAUAGUGGGAAAGAUUGAGUGUGGAAUAACAUGUGGGUGUAUAGCAAUAACAUGUGGUCCAACUUUUAAUUGAAAAUCCUACAUUCCUUGUUUUUUAUUACUUUUACAGUUUGUAUUUGGUAUCAUAAAAGAUUGAGUGUAAACAUUAGUGGGAAAGAAUCUUGUAAAUUGCUAGGAAUAUUGUUUCUCUACAGCAAAUGAAACUCAUAUUAA